rnacentral:rRNA from 1 species
CUACGGGUUGCACCAGUGAGGAAUAUUGCACAAUGGGGGGAACCCUGAUGCAGCAACGCCGCAUGGAGGAUGACGCAUUUCGGUGUGUAAACUCCUUUUAUAUGUCAAGAAAAUGACGGUAGCAUAUGAAUAAGCACCGGCUAACUCCGUGCCAGCAGCCGCGGUAAUACGGAGGGUGCAAGCGUUACUCGGAAUCACUGGGCGUAAAGGACGCGUAGGCGGGUUGGAAAGUCAGGUGUGAAAUCCUACAGCUUAACUGUAGAACUGCACUUGAAGCUUCUAAUCUAGAGUAUGGGAGGGGGAGAUGGAAUUAGUGGUGUAGGGGUAAAAUCCGUAGAUAUCACUAGGAAUACCUAAAGCGAAGGCGAUCUCCUGGAACAUUACUGACGCUAAGGCGUGAAAGCGUGGGGAGCAAACAGGAUUAGAUACCCCCGUAGUC